rnacentral:rRNA from 1 species
GAUGAACGCUGGCGGCGUGCCUAAUACAUGCAAGUCGAACGAACAGAUCAGGAUCUUGCUCCUCUGACGUUAGCGGCGGACGUGUGAGUAACACGUGGAGAACCUACCUAUAAGACUGGGAUAACUUCGUGAAACCGGAGCUAAUACCGGAUAAUCUCUUGAACCGCAUGGUUCAAUAGUUAAAGACGGUUUUGCUGUCACUUAUAGAUGGAUCCGCGCCGCAUUAGCUGGUUGGUACGGUAACGGCUUACCAAGGCAACGAUGCGUAGCCGACCUGAGAGGGUGAAGGGCGACCCGGGAGGUGAGACGCGGUACAGACUCCUAGGGGAGGCAGAAGUAGGGAAUGGUCGGAAAUGGGGGAAAGCCUGACGGAGCAACGGAGCGUGAGUGAUGAAGGUCUUCGGAUCGUAAAACGGUGUUAUGAGGGAAGAACAAAUGUGUAAGGAACUAUGCACGUAGUGACGGUACCUGAUCAGAAAGCACCGGCUAACUACGUG